rnacentral:rRNA from 1 species
AUUGAACGCUGGCGGCAGGCCUAACACAUGCAAGUCGAGCGGAGGGGCGGACGGGUGAGUGAUGCCUAGGAAUGUGCCUGGUAGUGGGGGAUAAGGCUCGGAAACGGGAGCUGAUACCGCAUCCUCUCAGAUGAGCCUAGGGCGGAUUAGAUAGUUGGUGGGGGAAAGGCAUACCAAGGCGACGACCCGUAACGGGCACGAGAGGAUGAUCAGUCACACUGGAACUGAGACACGUUCCAGACUCCUACGGGAGGCAGCAGUGGGGAAUAGUGCACAAUGGGCGAAAGCCUGAUCCAGCCAUGCCGCGUGUGUGAAGAAGGUCUUCGGAUUGUAAAGCACUUUAAGUGGGGAGGCGUUACCAACAGAAUAAGCACCGGCUAACUCCGUGCCAGCAGCCGCGGUAAUUC